rnacentral:rRNA from 1 species
GAUGAACGCUAGCUACAGGCUUAACACAUGCAAGUCGAGGGGUAGCAGGGUAGCAAUACCGCUGACGACCGGCGCACGGGUGAGUAACACGUAUCCAACCUUCCCAUAACUCGGGGUUAGCCUUUCGAAAGAAAGAUUAAUACCCGAUAGUACUUUUUCAAGGCAUCUUGAGAAAGUUAAAGAUUUAUUGGUUAUGGAUGGGGAUGCGUUCCAUUAGAUAGUUGGUGAGGUAACGGCUCACCAAGUCUUCGAUGGAUAGGGGUUCUGAGAGGGAAGUCCCCCACAUUGGUAGUGAAAAACGGACCAAACUCCUAAGCGAUGCAGCAUUAAAGAAUAUUGGUCAACGGGCGAGAGCCUGAAACAGCCAAGUAGCGUGAAGGAUGAAGGUCCUAUGGAUUGUAAACUUCUUUUAUAGUAGAAUAAAGUGAUCCACGUGUGGAUUUUUGUAUGUAUACUAUGAAUAAGGAUCGGCUAACUCCGUGCCAGCAGCCGCAGUAA